rnacentral:rRNA from 1 species
ACUAGGGGUGCAAGCGUUGUCCGGAAUCAUUGGGCGUAAAGGGUGCGUAGGCGUCCAGGAAAGUUAUUUGUUAAAUACUCCGGCUUAACCGGAGAAAUGCAUAUAAAACUACCUGGAUAGAGUUUAAGAGGGGAAAAUGGAAUUCCUGGUGUAGCGGUGACAUGCGUAGAUAUCAGGAGGAACACCAAUAGCGAAGGCAGUUUUCUGGCUUAAAACUGACGCUGAGGCACGAAAGCGUGGGGAGCAAACAGG